UACGUAGGGUGCGAGCGUUAAUCGGAAUUACUGGGCGUAAAGCGUGCGCAGGCGGUUCGUCGUGUCUGAUGUGAAAGCCCCGGGCUCAACCUGGGAAUGGCAUUGGAAACUGGCGGACUAGAAUCUGGCAGAGGGGGGUGGAAUUCCACGUGUAGCAGUGAAAUGCGUAGAGAUGUGGAGGAACACCGAUGGCGAAGGCAGCCCCCUGGGCUGAGAUUGACGCUCAGGCACGAAAGCGUGGGGAGCAAACAGG
rnacentral:rRNA from 1 species